CAACUACUCCCUCUGUCCAAAAUUUCUUGUCUUAGAUUUGUCUAGAUACGGAUGUAUCUGUGACUUGAUACAUCCGUAUCUAGACAAAUCUAAGACAAGAAUUUUGGGACGGAGGGAGUACUUU
rnacentral:pre_miRNA from 1 species